rnacentral:rRNA from 1 species
UACAGAGGGUGCAAGCGUUAAUCGGAAUUACUGGGCGUAAAGCGCGCGCAGGCGGUCCUUUAAGUCUGAUGUGAAAGCCCACGGCUCAACCGUGGAGGGUCAUUGGAAACUGGGGGACUUGAGUGCAGAAGAGGAAAGCGGAAUUCCACGUGUAGCGGUGAAAUGCGUAGAGAUGUGGAGGAACACCAGUGGCGAAGGCGGCUUUCUGGUCUGUAACUGACGCUGAGGCGCGAAAGCGUGGGGAGCAAACAGG